AGAAAUUUGACGAGCACUGCUUGCCCAAGAAAAAUGAGACGUACGAGAGGAUUUGGCUAUGUGAGUCAGGCAUGCAAUCGCUCUAAGGAGUGAAUGAAGACUAGAGAAGCACUGGAAGCGAUCUGGAUUGAGUAUGUUCUCCAUCAGAUGCUGGCCAGAGGAAGGACAUACAGUGCACGCCAUCCUGGAGACGCCAAGGCACAAUGGAAUACCGCCGCCAUGGUUACAGCUUACAAGACCAUCGACAAAUCAAUUCCCUGAUAUCACACCCUACGCUCCACUAAGAGCUCUGUGCUCUGUAGAUUCUCAAUUUUGGUUUCAGUGUGGUAGAGUGAUCUCCCUCCAUCUCUUAGAACUGCUGAUUGUCUUUCAAAAUUCAUGAAGAGUUUCAAAAAAAUAUCUGUUGGCCCACUUUACUCCAGAUCUCAUAAGUGCUCCUUAAACUUGCAUUACAUAAUAUUUCACAAUCGCCUCUGUAUUUCCUACAAAUUUUGUAGGCAGUUACUUGUGUAAUGUG